GGUCGCUCGUCCCGCCUCCUCCCGCGGCGCGACGCUUUGGUGGAUGGGAAGUCGGCUGCUGGUGCCGCGGUCAGCGUCUGUUGCUGUUUACUGUGGGAUCGGCGUGGCUUAUGCGCGUGGUGAACCGCCCUGUGAUCUUCGGGUGAAAGGCGGAACACAAAUUUAAUAAAUACUAAUAAUUUCCUGGUGCACAUCUCCAUCAUUUAUUGCAGAAAAGAUUGGUGGGGAGAGAGCAGGUAUGUUGCGCAAGAACUCCCAAUUGUACAACUUGAGUUUGCUGGCAUGUGACUAAAUCCCACCUGAAAGUAGCAACAACCUGGAAACACCCAAAAUUCAGUUGGGUUACUCCUAGUGCUAAAUAGGUGUGAAUGGUAUGUUUACCUUACAGAGCAGUCCUAUGUAAACCUGUUCAGAAGUAAUGAGCGCUGUGGGAAUUCCCCUCUGCAACUUUAAUGUUAUAAUGAAGAGAUGAUUUACUGCAAGUGAAUGUUUCCUGUUUCCCAGCUUUCUUAUCUCACAUUAUGCUUUUCUCUGGCUUUGUAUUUGCUGUGUCAAUACUGUACAUUCUUCCCCAUUCUGGGAUUGUAGCAACGGUUAAGUAUUUGACAUUCUGCUUAUUGAAAUAAAAUGGCAACAUUUUAA